rnacentral:tRNA from 1 species
CUCAAUAUAGCUUAAUAUAGAGCAAAUCACUGAAGAUGAUUAGGUGUUAAAUCUAUGAGU